rnacentral:rRNA from 1 species
GUGCCAGCCGCCGCGGUAAGACGAACCGUGCGAACGUUGUUCGGAAUCACUGGGCUUAAAGGGCGCGUAGGCGGGUUUCCAAGUCUGUGGUGAAAUCCUCCAGCUUAACUGGAGAAGUGCCGUGGAUACUGGGAACCUCGAGGAGGGUAGGGGCAUCUGGAACAGCCGGUGGAGCGGUGAAAUGCGUUGAUAUCGGCUGGAACUCCGAUGGCGAAGGCAAGGUGCUGGACCCUUUCUGACGCUGAGUGCGCGAAAGCCAGGGGAGCGAACGGGAUUAGAUACCCGCGUAGUCC